CAGUCUGUAAACGGUUUAAACUGCUUGCAAUGCACAGGGCAUUUAAACUCCAGUAUGUAAAAUCAAUCGGGUAUCACAUGCGUUAUACCACAGGCUUCCCCAGUCCACACAAACAAACACUCCCGCGACACACCGGAAAUGGAUGAGGUCACCAGUGACGAUGAGACGCACCGUACUACCAUACCUAAGGCUAUCUUUAUAGGCCACGUAAAAUAAGGCACACCCCAGAGAGAGAUUAUCAUUGGCUACAGCAAGAUUGUUUUUGUUGUUUUGCCUCAAUGAUUUUUCCUGUAUUGUCUACAUUUUACAUGGUGAUGGAUUCCUCAUAUGAUUACAUAGUUGUGAGUACUUGUUUACAAUAAUGUUGAGUCUUGUGUGAUUUAAAUAUUCAAACUUGCAUGUUAUGAGUAGCUGGACAUGCCAGAACUGUAGAAAUGGUAGUGUGUGAUGUUAAUGGAGAACUAUGGGCUGGAUAGCCACGGAAAGGUUUUUGCACACUUCACUGAGGAGUCUAAAGGUGCACUAAGGGGUGACUGGCAGUCUGUUUUGGUAAAGGAAGAUAGAGGACACCUUUCAGGAGGAGCCACAACAUUGGGUUCAAGAAUCAUCAUCACAGGCAGAUGAUGCAAGUAUAAAUGUGUUGGAGGAUGUACUGCUUGAAUCAUCACUUGAAAGAGGUACACUGUUUUGUUACGGGACUUGCAACAAAGGCAAAAGAGUUUUAAAGGAAGCCAGCAGCAAGCGGUGUUUGGAGCAGUCAAGUGUGCUGCUUGGUUCUGUUCAGCUGCCCAAAGUACUCUAUAUGGAGGAUGAAGAUGUUGAUGAGGACUUGGACAAAUUACAGAAGGCUGAAUUUUCGGAGGACAGAAUGGUUGCUCUGGAAACUUUCAGCUUUUUCUUCAUUGAGAUGAAGGACGUGAACUUGUUCCUUAAAUGAAAGGGAUUACUGAUAUAGAUAUCGUACCUCAAAGUGAUGAUAUCACAGACCAUUUCCUUGUAUCGUGCAGUCUGUGUAUCACUGAUAUUAACUA